CUCUGGCAGUGGGAAUAGGAGGAUAAGUCACAGGUCUCGUACUCAGUGGAUGGACAGGUGUGUGUGUUUCAGCCUGGAGGACUGCAAGCAGUGGGUGAGGAAGAACGUUGCAGAGAGAUGGGAUGUCCUGAGCACUGAGGGUUGUGCUGGGAAAGUAGCAACUGUCUCAUCAGAGAAGCUUCUGCCCUAACCCAGCCCUCUGCUCUGCAGAAUAGUGGGGAAGUCUGGGCCUCAGGAAGCCACAUAAGAUGACAACAGGACAGUGACAUAAAUGGAUUGUCUUUGAAUUAGGAAAAGCAAAGCUGAUAAUUCAGCUCCUACCCAAGAGGACCAAAACCCUGAGCACAGAGGUGUAGUGUAGCCCGGUUGCACCAUGGGCUCCAGGCUUCUUCACUGCAUGAUGCUUUGUCUCCUGGGAGCAGGCCCUGUGGAGGCAGGAGUCACUCAAACUCCAAGACACCUGAUCAAAACAAAAGGACAGAAAGUGACACUGAGAUGUUCCCCUAUGUCUGGACACAACAACGUGUAUUGGUACCAACAGAUCCUGGGCCAGGGACUCCAGUUCAUUUUUGAAUAUUACAGAGAAGAACAAGGAGCAAAGGGAAACUUCCCCAGUCGGUUCUCAGCUCACCAGUUCCGUGACUACAGCUCUGAGAUGAAUGUGAGCUCCUUGCAGCUGGAGGACUCGGCCCUGUAUCUCUGUGCCAGCAGCUUGGCACAGCCCUGCAGAGUCACUGACCUUCUAUGCACAAACUUCUUACCUGGGCUCUGGCAGUGA